UACAGAGGGGGCAAGCGUUGUUCGGAAUUACUGGGCGUAAAGGGCGCGUAGGCGGCCUUCUAAGUCGAACGUGAAAUCCCCGGGCUCAACCCGGGAACUGCGUCCGAUACUGGAAGGCUUGAAUCCGGGAGAGGGAUGCGGAAUUCCAGGUGUAGCGGUGAAAUGCGUGGAUAUCUGGAGGAACACCGGUGGCGAAGGCGGCAUCCUGGACCAACACUGACACUGAGGAGCGAAAGCCAGGGGAGCAAACGGG
rnacentral:rRNA from 1 species